ACGCGAAGAACCUUACCUGGGCUCGAACGGCUAUGGACAAUCCUUGGAAACAGGGACUUCUCGCAAGAGACUGUAGUCGAGGUGCUGCAUGGCUGUCGUCAGCUCGUGUCGUGAGAUGUUGGGUUAAGUCCCGCAACGAGCGCAACCCUUGUCCUGUGUUGCCAUCAUUAAGUUGGGCACUCUCAGGAGACCGCCAGCGAUAAGCUGGAGGAAGGUGGGGAUGAUGUCAAGUCAUCAUGGCCUUUAUGUCCAGGGCUACACACGUGCUACAAUGGCCGGUACAAAGCGCUGCAAACUCGCAAGAGGGAGCUAAUCGCAAAAAACCGGUCUCAGUUCGGAUCGCAGGCUGCAACUCGCCUGCGUGAAGCUGGAAUCGCUAGUAAUGCCGUAUCAGAACGAUGGCGUGAAUACGUUCCCGGGUCUUGUACACACCG
rnacentral:rRNA from 1 species